AUGGAGGGGGCUGGGGCACUGCGGCUGGCGGAGGCCGAGCGGGAGAGUCUGCUGGGCUCCGUCCACGGCGUCUCGGGGCCCGUGGUGACGGCCACCCGCAUGGCGGGGGCAGCCAUGUACGAGCUGGUGCGUGUGGGGCACGCGGAGCUGGUGGGCGAGAUCAUCCGGCUGGAGGGGGACAUGGCCACUCUCCAGGUCUACGAGGAGACCUCGGGGGUGCGGGUGGGGGACCCGGUGCUGCGCACGGGGAAGCCGCUCUCGGUGGAGCUGGGGCCCGGCAUCCUGGGCUCCAUCUUCGAUGGGAUCCAGCGCCCGCUGCGGGACAUCGCCCAGCUCACCCGCAGCAUCUACAUCCCGCGGGGCACCAACGUCCCCGCGCUGCCGCGGCACCUCACCUGGGACUUCGCCCCCACCAGGGACGUCCGGGUUGGGAGCCACGUCACCGGCGGUGACAUCUACGGGACGGUGACGGAGAACUCGCUCAUCCAACACAAGAUCAUGGUGCCCCCCCGCAGCCGGGGCACCGUCACCUACAUCGCGCCCCCCGGGCACUACAGCGUCUCGGACGUGGUGCUGGAGCUGGACUUCCAGGGCAGCGCGGAGAAGCUGACCAUGCUGCAGGUGUGGCCGGUGAGGCAGACCCGGCCCGUGGCCGAGAAGCUGCCGGCGAAUCACCCGCUGCUGACGGGCCAGCGGGUGCUGGACGCCCUCUUCCCGUGUGUGCAGGGUGGCACCACGGCCAUCCCAGGCGCCUUUGGCUGCGGCAAAACCGUCAUCUCCCAGUCCCUGUCCAAGUAUUCCAACAGCGACAUCAUCGUCUACGUGGGCUGUGGCGAGCGGGGCAACGAGAUGUCCGAGGUCCUGCGGGACUUCCCCGAGCUCACCAUGGAGGUUGACGGGAGGACGGAGACCAUCAUGAAACGCACGACACUGGUGGCCAACACCUCCAACAUGCCGGUGGCUGCCCGCGAAGCCUCCAUCUACACCGGCAUCACGCUCUCCGAGUACUUCCGCGACAUGGGCCACCACGUCAGCAUGAUGGCCGACUCCACGUCCCGCUGGGCCGAGGCGCUGCGAGAGAUCUCGGGGCGUUUGGCUGAGAUGCCGGCGGACAGCGGCUACCCGGCGUACCUGGGCGCCCGCCUGGCCUCCUUCUACGAGCGCGCGGGGCGAGCACGCUGCCUGGGGUCCCCUGCCCGCGAGGGCAGCGUCAGCAUCGUCGGCGCCGUGUCCCCACCGGGAGGGGACUUCUCAGAUCCCGUCACCUCAGCCACGCUGGGCAUUGUGCAGGUUUUUUGGGGGCUGGACAAGAAGCUGGCGCAGCGCAAGCACUUCCCCUCAGUCAACUGGCUGAUCAGCUACAGCAGGUACCUGCGGGCGCUGGAGCCCCACUACGAGGGGCUGCACCCCGAGUUCCCUGCCCUGCGCAGCCGGGCCAGGGAGAUCCUGCAGGAGGAGGAGGAGCUGGCCGAGAUCGUGCAGCUGGUCGGGAAGGCAUCCCUCGCCGAGGCUGACAAGGUGACACUGGAGGUGGCGAAGCUCCUCAAGGAUGACUUUCUCCAGCAGAACGGCUACUCCUCCUACGACAGGUUCUGCCCCUUCUACAAGACGGUGGGGAUGCUCCACAACAUGGUCACGUUCUAUGACCUGGCGCGGCACGCCGUGGAGGCCACCGCACCGGGCGAGCGCCGCGUCACCUGGGCCACCAUCCGCGAGAGCCUGGGGGACAUCCUCUACAAGCUGAGCGCCAUGAAGUUCAAGGACCCGGUGAAGGACGGCGAAGCCAACAUCAUGGCAGCCUUUGCCCAGCUCAACGAGGAGAUGCAGGCAGCUUUCCGCAACCUGGAGGACUGAGGGGGGGGCAGGAAAAGGGGGGGGUACGGAAUGGGAGGUCCCCCUGGUGCUGCCCCCCGCCCCGCCCAAUAAAGGGCCCAAGGCCCCCCGGCGCUGGCCCCCUCCCACGGCCCAGGCAAGCGGGCCGUGGGCCAUGACGACCCUUCGGAGGGCUGCCGGCUGUGCCACAGCCCCCACCGGGGCCAGGCGCAGGCCAACGGCACGCUGGGUGCCAGCAUCACCCUGAGGUGCCCCGUGGCAGGUGCCCCCCUGGGCCAGCUGCUGGGCGUUUACUGGCACUUCUGGGGCAGCCCCGUGGGUACCGGUGCCGCCGUCUGCAGACAGAGCCGCGGGCAGACCCACUGUGGCCCACCCUACGACGGCCGCGCCACGCUGCCGGCACGCAACGGCACCCCGGGGGUGCUGGGCCUGCGGCACCUGCGGGACGAGGACGCCGGCACCUACACAUGCCUGCUGCUGGGCGAGGAUGACUGCGCCUGCGGGGAGGUGACGCUGCUCCUCGGCGGCGGUGCCCCCUGCAGCCCUCUCUGCUCGGCGGCCCCCCCCGGCGGCGGCUUCGGCCUUGGCCUCCUCCUCCUCCUGCGGCUGCUGCUGGCGGCCCGCGGCCUGUGACCCGGGGAGCGCGUGUGCCCGUGCACGUGUGCGUGUACGUGUGUGUCUGUACGUGUGUGUGUACGUGUGUCUGUGCGUGUGCACCUGAGGGCAUUGUACAUGUGUGUGUUUGUAUGUGUGUGCGUGUACACAUGUGUCUGUGCAUACACGUGUGUGCGUGAGCGUGCGCCCGCAGACGUGCGUGUGUGAGUGCGUGUGUGCGCACACGUGUGCAGGGGGGCGGGGGGCGGUGUGGGCGUAUGUCAGCGCGUGCACAUGGGUUGGGCAUGCGGGGGACACGCAUGGGGGCUCACGCGUGGGGGCGCGUGUGCUCCGGGUGGGUGCACGUGGAUGGGUACAAGCCUGUGUGUGCAGCACGUGUGCUGU